GAUGAACGCUAGCGACAGGCUUAACACAUGCAAGUCGAGGGGCAGCAUGAUUUGUAGCAAUACAGAUUGAUGGCGACCGGCGCACGGGUGAGUAACGCGUAUGCAACUUACCUAUCAGAGGGGGAUAGCCCGGCGAAAGUCGGAUUAAUACCCCAUAAAACAGGGGUCCCGCAUGGGAAUAUUUGUUAAAGAUUCAUCGCUGAUAGAUAGGCAUGCGUUCCAUUAGGCAGUUGGCGGGGUAACGGCCCACCAAACCGACGAUGGAUAGGGGUUCUGAGAGGAAGGUCCCCCACAUUGGUACUGAGACACGGACCAAACUCCUACGGGAGGCAGCAGUGAGGAAUAUUGGUCAAUGGCCGAGAGGCUGAACCAGCCAAGUCGCGUGAAGGAAGAAGGAUCUAUGGUUUGUAAACUUCUUUUAUAGGGGAAUAAAGUGGAGGACGUGUCCUUUUUUGUAUGUACCCUAUGAAUAAGCAUCGGCUAACUCCGUGCCAGCAGCCGCGGUAAUACGGAGGAUGCGAGCGUUAUCCGGAUUUAUUGGGUUUAAAGGGUGCGUAGGUGGUGAUUUAAGUCAGCGGUGAAAGUUUGUGGCUCAACCAUAAAAUUGCCGUUGAAACUGGGUUACUUGAGUGUGUUUGAGGUAGGCGGAAUGCGUGGUGUAGCGGUGAAAUGCAUAGAUAUCACGCAGAACUCCGAUUGCGAAGGCAGCUUACUAAACCAUAACUGACACUGAAGCACGAAAGCGUGGGGAUCAAACAGG
rnacentral:rRNA from 1 species